ensembl:lncRNA
GUGAUUCUUUUAUUAAACAAAGGAGCAAAGGAAAUCAAGCAACUCUCCUGUGACUCAGCUGAAGAGAACAGCCUGUGCAAUGAGUAUAAAUGUUUUUGUAAGGAGCUUGGAUGCACUCACAUGUCUCAGAAGAUCUUUAAAUGAGUUUGCAGGGUGUCAUUAAUACAUCGGACUGCAUGAAUAAACCAGCAAACCCAGCAGUGGCGGGUCUGUGAUGCUUCUGGAACGGCUGGGACUAGAGCCAUGAAUCAUGUCAUCUGGUCGGGCUUAUGAAAAGAGCUCUGCGUCUGUUCUCGCCACUCAGACAGACAGAGAGACCAGAGCGGGGUGGUACUAAAUCAUACAGCUCAUCACUUCCAAUGCAUUUGCUCAGCAAGACAUAUUCUGGAUUUAUGGGGCUUUUGAGAAUGAGGAGCUUUGGGAGAGAGGCUAUGGGCAAAG